UCUUCCAAGAUGGCGGCGCGUCCGUCGCGAGCAGCCGGGCCGGGGGGAAGCCAGCAAAGCCGAGUAAAGCCGCCGCCCGGGAGAGGACUGAAGGAGCUGUUUCGGCCGUUGGCGGCGGCUCGGGCAGUUUUCGCUGCUGCUACGGCUGUUGCCAUGCGGCGAGGCUAGGGAGGAGCUCACUUCCCCGGGGUGUAAUAAUGUUAACAGAGGUAAAUUCCUAUAUGAUACAAUUCUUUAAAAAUUCAGAGCUGCAGAUAUAGAGCACCAGUUAAAUGAGAGGAACCUUGGAUAUCAUCUGUUUCCAACCUGUUUACAGAUGAAGAAAUUGAGGCUCAGAGAGACCAGUCUAUCCAUAUGGGGAUGGGGAAGCCUUGGCAUUGUCCUUUCUCUAAUAACCUUUGGACCCUUUGUAAUAUUUUAUUUGGCCUUUUAUAUCCUCUGCUUUGUGGGUGGGGGUUUUGUGGUUACUCUCCUGUUUGGAAAAACAAACUCAGAGAAGUACCUAGAGCAGUGUGAACACUCAUUUCUUCCUCCAACGUCAACUGGGAUUCCUAAGUGCUUAGAAGAAAUGAAACGAGAAGCCAGGACUAUAAAGAUUGAUAGAAGAUUGACAGGUGCCAAUAUAAUUGAUGAGCCUCUCCAGCAAGUUAUCCAGUUUUCCUUGAGGGAUUAUGUCCAGUAUUGGUAUUAUACACUAAGUGAUGAUGAAUCUUUUCUUCUUGAAAUUAGGCAGACUCUUCAAAAUGCACUCAUUCAGUUUGCCACUAGGUCAAAAGAAAUAGACUGGCAGCCUUAUUUUACUACACGUAUUGUAGAUGAUUUUGGCACACACCUACGAGUAUUCAGAAAAGCUCAACAGAAGAUAACAGAGAGAGAUGAUCAAGCGAAAGGUACAGCAGAAGAUCUUGUGGAUACCUUCUUUGAAGUUGAAGUUGAAAUGGAGAAGGACGUUUGCCGUGAUCUAGUGUGCACUUCUCCCAAAGAUGAAGAAGGAUUCCUAAGGGAUUUGUGUGAGGUCUUAUUAUAUUUAUUGCUACCUCCUGGAGAUUUCCAGAACAAGAUCAUGCGAUACUUUGUCAGGGAAAUCCUUGCACGAGGAAUUCUUCUUCCAUUAAUAAAUCAACUCAGUGAUCCUGAUUAUAUUAAUCAAUAUAUCAUAUGGAUGAUCCGUGAUUCUAAUUGCAACUAUGAGGCCUUUAUGAACAUUAUUAAAUUGAGUGACAAUAUUGGAGAGCUAGAAGCGGUCAGAGAUAAAGCAGCAGAAGAAUUACAGUAUCUUCGAUCUCUAGAUACAGUUGGUGAUGAUAUCAACACUAUCAAGAAUCAAAUAAAUAGCUUAUUAUUUGUAAAGAAAGUAUGUGACUCAAGAAUACAGCGAUUGCAGUCAGGCAAAGAAAUAAAUACUGUGAAACUGGCAGCAAACUUUGGGAAACUUUGCACAGUCCCCUUGGACAGCAUUCUUGUAGACAAUGUUGCACUACAGUUUUUUAUGGAUUACAUGCAGCAAACUGGAGGUCAAGCACAUCUCUUCUUCUGGAUGACAGUGGAAGGAUACCGAGUUACAGCCCAGCAGCAACUGGAAGUUUUAUUAAGUCGUCAGAAAGAUGGAAAACAUCAAACCAACCAAACCAAAGGUCUUUUAAGAGCAGCUGCUGUUGGAAUAUAUGAACAGUAUUUAUCAGAAAAGGCAUCUCCAAGAGUUACUGUUGAUGAUUAUUUGGUAGCAAAAUUAGCAGAUACUUUGAAUCAUGAAGAUCCAACCCCUGAAAUCUUUGAUGACAUUCAGAGGAAGGUUUAUGAAUUGAUGCUACGAGAUGAAAGAUUUUAUCCUUCCUUCAGACAGAAUGCACUUUAUGUGCGCAUGUUAGCUGAGCUGGAUAUGUUAAAAGAUCCUAGUUUCAGAGGAUCAGAUGAUGGUGAUGGAGAGUCUUUUAAUGGGUCUCCUACUGGAAGCAUAAAUUUGUCUUUAGAUGACCUUUCAAAUGUAUCUUCUGAUGACUCAGUACAACUUCAUGCUUACAUUUCAGACACUGGCGUUUGUAAUGAUCAUGGCAAGACAUACGCAUUGUAUGCUAUCACUGUACACCGGCGCAAUCUGAACAGUGAGGAGAUGUGGAAAACCUAUCGUCGCUAUAGUGACUUUCAUGACUUCCAUAUGAGGAUCACUGAGCAGUUUGAAAAUCUAUCAAGCAUAUUGAAGCUUCCUGGUAAAAAGACUUUUAAUAAUAUGGAUAGAGAUUUUUUAGAAAAAAGAAAAAAGGAUUUAAAUGCAUAUUUGCAGUUACUGUUGACUCCUGAAAUGAUGAAAGCAUCCCCAGCUUUGGCUCACUAUGUGUAUGAUUUCCUUGAGAACAAAGCCUACAGUAAAGGGAAAGGGGAUUUUGCUCGCAAGAUGGACACUUUUGUAAAUCCACUUCGAAAUUCUAUGAGGAAUGUUUCAAAUGCAGUUAAAUCCCUUCCUGAUAGCUUGGCAGAGGGAAUGACUAAAAUGUCAGACAACAUGGGCAAAAUGUCAGAAAGAUUAGGUCAAGACAUAAAGCAAUCAUUUUUCAAGGUGCCUCCUUUAAUUCCGAAGACUGACUCAGAUCCUGAACAUUGUCGGGUCUCAGCUCAGCUUGACGAUACUAUGCUCCAGAAAAUCGGCGAAGGGGGCCAGCAUUUGCCUUAUCAAAGCAGUACAGACUCUACUAAAAGUGGAUGACAAUAUUCCACUUAGGGUAAUGCUGCUUCUUAUGGAUGAAGUAUUCGACUUAAAAGAGAGAAAUCAGUGGUUGCGAAGGAAUAUCAAAAACCUACUUCAACAGCUUAUUAGAGCCACAUAUGGUGAUACUAUUAAUAGAAAAAUAGUUGACCAUGUUGAUUGGAUGACCUCACCUGAGCAAGUAGCCGACUUAGUGAAACGUUUCAGAGAUGCCUUUUGGCCAAAUGGCAUUUUAGCAGAGACUGUUCCAUGCAGAGAUAAAGCUAUUCGAAUGAGAACAAGAGUUGCAGGAAAAACUAAAUUACUUUCAAUUAUGCCAGAUGAACUGAAGCACAUUAUCGGGGCUGAAACAACACGGAAAGGUAUUCUUCGUGUUUUUGAAAUGUUUCAGCACAACCAGUUAAAUAGGAGAAUGGUUUAUGUCUUCUUGGAAGGCUUUUUGGAAACCUUAUUUCCACAGUAUAAAUUUCGUGAACUUUUCAACAAACUGCAUUCACGAUCAAAGCAGAUACAGAAAUAUAAACAGAAACUUCAAACUACUCAAGCGCCUUCUUUACAGAAGAGGUGACACUCCAAUCUCUGAAGCUGGUGUUCAUUUUGUCCAGGACUAAUAAUAUGGACAGAUCUUCUGGGGCUUAACUCAUAUACUGUCAUGUCGCACCAGUCUUUUAGUGUCUCAAAAUAGAUUAUUAAUACAUCCAUAAGACUGUGGUUCUUCUCAUCCUCGUCCAUAAUCCAGCCACUACCAAGAGAGAUUUCUGUGUCUUAAAUGAUUUGGUGCAUACUUUUGCAACAUUGAGAGGAUACUGCCCCAUUCUCAAGCAAGAAUGACAUUGGUCUCUUCCAUUUCAAACUAAUCAGCAUUCUCCAGCAAUGACAAAGUGCCAGAAUGUAUACGUGAGAGCUGAGGAAAGCACAAAACAAUGGUUCACAGAUAAACUGGCUAAUUUGUUUAACCGUGGGAGACUGAGCAAUGUAUGAUUUGGAGGGAUUUGUUUUUGCAUAAUAAUUUUAUAGAUCUUUAUCAGAAUUUUGAUAUAAUGUGGAUUAGCCAGGUGAAUGAUCUUUGGAACAUCUGCUUCAGGUCAGGGGAAAGUGACAGGAUGCCCUUAAAGUAUGAAGUAACCUUAUACCCUAAUUACAGUUUUGUGACAUAAAAUAAAACCAAUCAAAAACAGAAUUUGAUUGGAUUUGUUAUUAUUGGUAUAAAACAAAUUUUAAUUGAUUCUUACGUGCUUUGGGGCUCUGUUUUGCUCUUAUGGUACUCAAUCAUAAGUUUUCUUUUGGUGUUCUGCGUGCAAAAAGAAGCAUAUAGUGGCGCUCUCGGUUCAGUUUCAAAAUUAUUACAGUUUUCUUUAAGAGAUGACUGAUUACACAAUAGGGAGUAUAAUCUCGAAAGAACUGCCAAAUACAUUCUGUUAUUUUAAAAACAUGGAAAUUAAAAAAAGAACAGCACCAUUGAAAGUUACAAUGUGAUCAUUUUAAAUUGUGUGAUCUAGACAUACCUUAGGUGAUUGCAAAAGUAGCAAAUCAAAGGUUUAAAUGAGCUUUUAGUCAUAUGUAAACAGACAAAUUCCUAAUUCUAUUACUGUGUAUAUAUAUAUAAAAAUAAAUAAUGAAAACAGAACUAUAGUAUUUUUUAAAAUAUGCUUUUAUUUAUAUUUUGCAUAAUGUAAAAUUCUACUAAAUAAAGCAAGUUGGCAAAACCCCUGGGUGUAUACAUUUAAGUCCCUGAAAUAAUUUUAUACCAACAACAACAAAUUACCUUUUCCAGUUCUGGAGCCUCUGCAUUUCUUAUAGUUUUCUCUUUCUCCGUUUGUCCAUCUUGGAAGUCUUCAUAUCCCUUGUAUGCAGGAUUUCUGCAUAGUUUUAAAUACACUGACUAAGGGUUUGGAUUUGUCAGCAUUUUUUGUUUUAAAAAUAUUUAACACUACAACCUUAAAAUAGUGAAGCUACUUAUCAGACCACUGAGCCAAGAUCCUGGUAUUAAAAGAACGUCUGGGUGCUUAAGAUAAAGGGACAAAGUUUCGGUAUCCCAGUUAUUUGGGAGCUUUAAGAUGGAAACAAGAUGUUAUUGUCUUGUUUUCACCGAGAUUCUACUUACAAAGUGAAGCCUAAUAACAGAUUAAAGCCUUCCUUUAAAGCUUUAUAAUAAUAAUAAUCAUAUUUAUUAAUAACGCUGUUGUGCAUACUUACAGUAUGCAUAUAUUCAGCAUGUAUUGCAUGUCUAAAGAAUUACAUAAAUGAAACCCCUUUCGUUGCAACUUGCAAAUGAGAAAAGAUCCUUAUUGACUCUGGCGGAAGAAAUAAUACUUUUUCUUCCCAGUGUGUUUCCCUGCCGUGGUCCCCCCCACCCCCCAUGCCCCAGGCUUUAAAGGUGAGGAUUUGUGAAACAUGUCUGUAGGAAGCAUCAGCAUGGCCAUAAGUGCAAUGAUUCUCAAAUAUACCCUUGCCCAUUUCAAGUAUAUUUUUGACAUAAAUAAGUCUAAGAGUAAACAAGAAUUCAUUUAAGAGCCUAGUGUGUACAUAUGAAAAGCAUUUCCAGAUAAUGUGAGGAAUGCUGGCCAUCAACCAGGGAAAGAAAGAAAGGUCCUGCAAAAUUGCAACUUUUCAUAACAGAGCCCUGCAAGGUAACUGCAAUCAUACCAAAAACUAUAUGAGUAAAUGGGUUUUUUAAAUAAUUUUUGUUUCAAGAGUUUAUAUUUCAAAAGCAGAAAUGUCAAAUGGUAGUUUAUGUAAACGGUUGUGCGUCUUCUCUAUGCACAUCUAUGUUUUACAUCAGAGAGCUGUGGUCAUGCUAAAAUUAGAGAUACUUUUUGAAUGACUUGGUCAAGCUGUGUGUAAAAUAUUUAAUUCAUAAGUCAAGUACAGUGUACUAUGUUUAAUAAAGUUAUUACAUUUAAUGCAUUUAUUGCAUAUAUAAAUAUAUACCUGAAGAGGCUUUAAGUCUUCUGAUAUUUGAUUUUUUGAAUGUGUUUUUAAGUCAGUGGUGCCUUUAGGCGAGAACCUUCAAAAUUAAUCAUCCUCUUUUGGGUUUUCUGAUUUUUUCAGGUAACAAACUAUUUAGAAACCAUCACUACUAACAGUUGAUUCACCUAAAAAUUGAUUGUAUGAUUUAAAUAUAGCGCUUAGCUGGGCAUUUCCUCUGAUUAGGGUGUUCUGAAUAGUUGCUGAAAAAAUUGUGCCAUUGACCAAUGGAUGCACUUGGUUAGCCUUAACUUUUUUUUAAAAAAAAUUAAAAACUUUCUUGAAUAUUUCUGUUGGCUCAUCUUAAGUUUGUGCUGCUGGUGUUUGGAAAGAAUCAAACAGUUAAGUGCUACCAGAAAGUGUAUCAAUUUUUAAAAAAUUAAGAACAAUAUAAAUUUCACAAUCUAAAAUUUUAAUUUUGUGCAAUAUUUUCAUUUAAUGCAUGUGUAUUUGAGUAAUUGUAAAAUAAAUGAAUUUUUAAUGUUUUGAGAUCUAGUUUAAACUGUCUUCUUAACCCAACAACUUACAUUCCGUUGUUGCUGCAUCCUUUUAUUUAAGGACUUGUUUUAAAAGUCUUUUUUGUCACUCCUUGUAAAAUUCUUUUGUUACUAGUAAAUUUUGCUUAUAGGAGCAUGGCUCCUGUAUUACAAGGGAAAAAUAUAAAGAGCACAUCUUAGGAUUAUAGUUGUUAAAAGAUAAUUUGUGCAUAACAUUGUACAGUAAAUGUCAACUGUGUGCCUAACUAUUCUAUCAAUACUUUCCUUCUUUAACAAAGAAGAAACAACAAUCAGAAUGUCAGUUAUUUUUAUUGAACUAAAAAGAAGAUUAAAAUUUUUAUUUGGUUUGCGUUAUGUUCUGUCCAUUAGAAAAUACUAAUAAAAUAUUAACAAAC